GCUGGGCAUGGUGGCGUAUGCUUGUAAUCCCAGCAGCCCUGGAGGCUGAGACAGGAGGAUUGCGAGUUCAAAGCCAGCCUCAGCAAUGGCAAAGCGCUAAGCAACUCAGUGAGAUCCUGUCUCUA
rnacentral:sRNA from 1 species